AAUUGAGUUUAAAUGAGCGACAGAGAGUUCUGGGCUCACUUCCCAAGGCUGAUAUUACCUGAGAAGGAAUCCCAGAGGAAGAGGAAAGCAAGGAAUCAGAAAUGACUCGUUCCGAGAUCAGAAGUUUCUGAAAUGGUGUGUGGGUCAUUUCUCAUCUUUUUUUUUGGUUAGGAUUAUGGUAGAAAAUAUUGCUGUGUAAAAGUCAUAUUAUAGUAUAACACCAGUUCAGUCCUGCUCCCAGGACUGAGAUAAUGAGAUGAAUCGCAUGCAUGGAUUUCCUUCAGUAAACUCUUUCCCUUCGGUAAAUCUGCCUAUCACGACCCUCCUUCUUGAGAUAUGGGUUGUCUUCUGACUUUAUGACCAUUGUUAAUUCCUUCUUUCCUUGGUAACGGUAACUAUACAUUUGGUUUUCUGAUCUUUACCAUUGUCAAAGAAAUUCUUAAACAGCCUAUAUAUGCUCAUGCAAAGA